UACGUAGGGGGCCAGCGUUGCUCGGAAUUACUGGGCGUAAAGGGUUCGUAGGCGGUGCGGCAAGUUGGGAGUGACAUCUCUGGGCUUAACCCAGAGGCUGCUUCCAAAACUGCCGUGCUAGAGUGCGAGAGAGGCGAGUGGAAUUGCAGGUGUAGCGGGGAAAUGCGUAGAUAGCUGCAGGAACAACCGAGGCGAAAGCGGCUCGCUGGAGCGCAACUGACGCUGAGGGACGAAAGCUAGGGGAGCAAACAGG
rnacentral:rRNA from 1 species